GCUCUCUGGGUGGCGAGUGGCGGACGGGUGAGGAAUACAUCGGAAUCUACUUUUUCGUGGGGGAUAACGUAGGGAAACUUACGCUAAUACCGCAUACAACCUACGGGUGAAAGCAGGGGAUCUUCGGACCUUGCGCGAUUGAAUGAGCCGAUGUCGGAUUAGCUAGUUGGCGGGGUAAAGGCCCACCAAGGCGACGAUCCGUAGCUGGUCUGAGAGGAUGAUCACCCACACUGGAACUGAGACACGGUCCAAACUCCUACGGGAGGCAGCAGUGGGGAAUAUUGGACAAUGGGCGCAAGCCUGAUCCACCCAUACCGCGUGGGUGAAGAAGGCCUUCGGGUUGUAAAGCCCUUUUGUUGGGAAAGAAAUCCAGCUGGCUAAUACCCGGUUGGGAUGACGGUACCCAAAGAAUAAGCACCGGCUAACUUCGUGCCAGCAGCCGCGGUAAUACGAAGGGUGCAAGCGUUACUCGGAAUUACUGGGCGUAAAGCGUGCGUAGGUGGUCGUUUAAGUCCGUUGUGAAAGCCCUGGGCUCAACCUGGGAACUGC
rnacentral:rRNA from 1 species